CCUACGGGCGGCAGCAGUGGGGGAUAUUGCACAAUGGGGGAAACCCUGAUGCAGCGACGCCGCGUGGGCGAAGAAGUAUUUCGGUAUGUAAAGCCCUAUCAGCAGGGAAGAAGAAAUGACGGUACCUGAGUAAGAAGCACCGGCUAAAUACGUGCCAGCAGCCGCGGUAAUACGUAGGGGGCAAGCGUUGUUCGGAAUGACUGGGCGUAAAGGGUGUGUAGGCGGUGUAGCAAGUUAGAAGUGAAAUACCUAGAGUUUAACUCAGGUGCUGCUUCUAAAACUGCUAUACUUGAGUGCAGUAGAGGAAAGUGGAAUUCCUAGUGUAGCGGUGGAAUGCGUAGAUAUUAGGAGGAACAUCAGUGGCGAAGGCGACUUUCUGGACUGUAACUGACGCUGAGGCACGAAAGUGUGGGGAGCAAACAGGAUUAGAUACCCUGGUAGUC
rnacentral:rRNA from 1 species